AUGUGAGGUCGGAUGGUCGCUCCCGCCUUUGGCGGGGGAGGAAAGUCCGGGCUCCAAGGACAGCGUGGUGGGUAACGCCCACCACCCCCGCCUUUGGCGGGGGUAGGACUAGUGCUACGUCCGCGCGCGCAGCGGGUACGAAGUACCCGGAGCGCGAGAAGCGCGGAGGGUAAACUCCACGCGGAGCAAGGCCAAAUAGAUUCUGCUUUGAGCUGGUUCCGGCGAAUGCUUCCUUUAAGCUUAAGCACUGGAAGAUAGCAGAACGGGUAGGCUGCUUGACCCCGUCAGUAAUGGCGGGGCUAGAGAAAUGACCGUCUAGAAACAGAACCCGGCUUACGAGCCUCACAUUUUC
rnacentral:RNase_P_RNA from 7 species